rnacentral:misc_RNA from 1 species
GAUGAAGAACGCAGCGAAAUGCGAUAAGUAAUGUGAAUUGCAGAAUUCAGUGAAUCAUCGAAUCUUUGAACGCACAUUGCGCCCCUUGGUAUUCCGAGGGGCAUGCCUGUUCGAGCGUCAUUAUAACCCCUCAAGCUCAGCUUGGUGUUGGGGCCUGCUGCACUGGCAGCCCUUAAAAUCAGUGGCGGCGCCAUCUGGCUCUAAGCGUAGUAAUUCUUCUCGCUAUGGAGUCCUGGUGGAUGCUUGCCAUCAACCCCCAAUUGUUCUAUGGUUGACCUCGGAUCAGGUAGGGAUACCCGCUGAACUUAAGCAUAUCAAUAAGCGGAGGA